rnacentral:rRNA from 1 species
GCAUAAGCUAAUUAAGGGCGUAUGGGGAAUGCCUAGGCUCUCAGAGGCGAAGAAGGACGUGAUAAGCUGCGAAAAGCUGCGGGGAUUGGCACAUACAAAUUGAUCCGCAGAUAUCCGAAUGGGGCAACCCGGCAUGUUGAAGACAUGUCAUCCUUUAUAGGAGGCAAACCCGGAGAACUGAAACAUCUAAGUACCCGGAGGAGAAGAAAACAAUAGUGAUUCCGUUAGUAGUGGCGAGCGAACGCGGACCAGCCCAAACCUGUUUUGUUACGGCAAGGCAGGGGUUAUAGGACUACAAUAGAGAUUAUGUAAUGAAUUAGAAUCCUUUGGAAAGAGGAGCCAUAGACAGUGAUAGCCUGGUACAAGUAAAGAUCAUAAUUUUAGUAGUAUCCUGAGUAGCGCGGGGCACGUGUAACCCUGUGUGAAUUAGUGGGGACCAUCCCAUAAGGCUAAAUACUCCUGAGAGACCGAUAGUGAACCAGUACCGUGAGGGAAAGGUGAAAAGAACCCUGAAUAAGGGAGUGAAAUAGAUCCUGAAACCAUACGCUUACAAGCGGUCGGAGGUCCAUUGGACUGACGGCGUGCCUUUUGCAUAAUGAGCCUACGAGUUACUUUUACUAGCGAGGUUAAGAUUUUAAGGAUCGGAGCCGUAGCGAAAGCGAGUCUGAAUAGGGCGUUAUAGUUAGUAGUAGUAGACGCGAAACCGUGUGAUCUACCCUUGGGCAGGUUGAAGCUUUGUUAACCCAAAGUGGAGGACCGAACCCGUUGACGUUGAAAAGUCUUGGGAUGACCUGAGGGUAGGGGUGAAAGGCCAAUCAAACUCG